GAUGAAUGCUGGCGGCGUGCCUAACACAUGCAAGUCGAGCGGCAGCGCGAGUAGUUUACUACUUGGCGGCGAGCGGCGGACGGCUGAGUAACGCGUGGGAACGUACCCCAAAGUGAGGAAUAACUGCCCGAAAGGGUGGCUAAUGCCGCAUAUGGUCUUCGGAUUAAAGGAUUUAUCCGCUUUGGGAACGGCCUGCGUACGAUUAGAUAGUUGGUGAGGUAAUGGCUCACCAAGUCUACGAUCGUUAACUGGUCUGAGAGGAUGAUCAGUCAGACUGGAACUGAGACACGGUCCAGACUCCUACGGGAGGCAGCAGUGAGGAAUCUUCCACAAUGGGCGAAAGCCUGAUGGAGCAACGCCGCGUGCAGGAUGAAGGCCUUCGGGUCGUAAACUGCUUUAUAAGUGAAGAAUAUGACGGUAGCUUAUGAUAAGCACCGGCUAACUACGUG
rnacentral:rRNA from 1 species